CGGUGCUGUUAUUAAAAGAAGGGAGGAACUCAUGCUCAUCUGCCCAAAGAGAUAACUGUCCAGGGCACAGUGUAAUGUGCUGUUGAUUUUAUGCCAUAUUUUCUAUGGCUUUUAGUUCGUAGUCUGUAUAGUUUGUCAGAAGAAAGGGAGGGGAUAGAAGAGAAUAGGGAAAUACUUUUCUCAUUGCACAUUAUAUAACCUGAUGUGGCGUAAGCAGUGCAUGUGGACACUGGCAUAAAGGGUUACACUCUCAAACCUCUGAUCUGUUGCCAUCAGCAAAGAUGUUGAGUUUUAAUCCAUGGGAAGUAUCCUGGCCGUGACUUUCUGCCCCAUGGAGAAAUCUGUGUUAGCUGGCAUCUGAGUUGUAAGAUCUUCUUUUUGCCAAACAGAGAAAUUAACAUCCUCUCCCUCCUUGACAAGGGACGGGGCAGGACACAAAGGGAACUGAACAGGAGGACCCCCACCCCAACCCCAGGGGCAAAGCCACAGUGUCACAGACUGAAGGGGUACAAGUCCCCGGGUAAGGGUGGUGAUUAGUGUCAAGUCUGUCUUGCAAAGCAUGUGGGAGGGACAAUAUUGACGCAUACCAUGGACUUACAACUGCAGAGGAAAAGACUACUCAUUUUAUACAAAUAGUGCCAAGGCCCAGAUACUAAGGUGUGACUGUCCCAGAGCAGGUCGGCAAACGACAGGAGCAGAAAAGGCUUCAGCAAAACCCCAGCAAAAAAGAAAAGAGGAGGAACCCAGAACAAUUCAUCCUGGAGACAGUUUAUCUCAGGCAACUGUAUUCACCGAAUGUGAAGCUACACAUGGAUCAGUUUCCUCUGAGAGAAAUCUAGGAACAAGUUGACUGAACCCUACACAAUGGGCAGCUGAGGAAAUACCCGCGUUGAACCAGGUUACUACAAGAUACUGAAUAUAGUUCCCUGUGCCAUACAGAAGAAACUUCUUGUUUAUCUGUUUUAUAUAUUGUAGCUUGACACGGAAAGAGGAGACGAGUGGAAGUAGCCCAUUUCCGGAAAGAACGUUUGUGGUUCCCCCGUUCCACACCGUCAUGAAAAACAGAAAGAGAAGUAGCUCACUGCAAGCAUGAAGCCGACACCUACUGCUAAAAAAGACCACAGUUUGGGGUGGAAAUAGUUUUGAUACUCAGGUUAGUGUUAUUCUGAUUAUAGCAGGAUCGUAUCGACAGUUUUUAUUGAAUUUGCUUUUAAGGAAAUACACACAUCCCUUUUGGUGCAGGUUCCCUGUAGUAUUAAAGCAAUAGUCCCAUUAGACACCAUAUUAUAUUCAGCCAUCAAAAACAUAAUCAGUAUCUUGAGCAUGCCGAUUUCCACGUGCACCUUUGUUAGCAAUUGCAGAGUGGUGACCUGACUUGACAAAGGUCAUGUGGCUGAGGAGAGGAUUCAGUGCCACACCCCAGGCCUUGGGGACCCUAAGCUGUGCACUUUUCAUUACACCAGCUGUCUCUGGCUAGAAAUACUGAGGUCAUGUUUUCUGCUUUCCUUACUUCAAGGGGUGAUGGUAUCUCAUGAGGUUAACAUAUACAAAUAAGCGGUGUUAAUACUGAAUCUGUAAAAAGCUUUCCUCUCUGCAGGCUCAAGCAGAAAAAUCUGGUUUAAGUUUCCUGAAUAACUUCCUUCUAGAUAAAUGCUACAUUAAAAAAAUUCCCAAAUCCCAAAAUCAUAAAAAUAAAAAUCAGGAGAAUGCAUGUCCUGUUGACAUUCAAGAAUAGAUAAAAUUUUAGAAAAGUCAGUAUUGCUAGCAAAACAGAGUUGAAGAGAGAUUUGUAAAGCUCAAAUUUUUACAAUCAACUUUUUUUUUUUUGCCUUUUAAUUUUAUCAUCCCGCCUCUAUCCACAAUGGAGCUGUGCCUCUGGGUCCUGAAACAAUGACUGUAUUUCCAAGUCUCCCAUUCAGCGAGGUGUGGCCACGUGACCAGGCACCGGCCAGUGAGACGCGAGGAGCUAGGAUGCGUGUGACUCUGAAAAUUACUUUAAAAGGGAGGAGGAUGCUGCUGCUUCUCGGUCCCUUUCUUCAUCCUGCUGCUGAGAAGGUGAAAGAAAGCUGCGUCCAGGAGAAGUUAAGGAAGGUUCCCAAGGGUGCACAAAGGGAUUCACCUCCAGUGUGUUGUGCUCCAAGCUGGUGCCUCUUCACAACCUCACUCCUGCCCCCUCCCCAGUAUCCCACGCCUCACCACCCAACACACCAGCUUCACAAAGGGGCUACUGGGGACUGAACCCGGGACCUCGUGCAUGCUAAGCACGCGCUCUGAGCUACAUCCUCCCCGCGUGCUUCCCUUUGUCAUAACACCUGUGCUGUUGAUUUGAAUGUGACUGGUGGGAGUGGGCACCACCUGGUUUGUAGGGGGAGAAAGAAGAUUUUAAAAUGGACUCAAGAAACAGAAAAGCCUUCUGUCGAAGAUGGCUCCAUGUUAAAUCUGGCCAAGUUUUGAUUCUGGGCUAUUGGAAUCUAGGAUUUGGACCUUAGGAAGUGGCCUCUGAUCUCCUUCCCUGAUGCUGUUGUCACAGUGCAGCACAACGUGGAUGACUGUCAGAGGAAACAGCGCACAGGAGUCACACGGUUUCCAUGAAAAUCAAUGGGGAAAUCAACAAAUGGAACUUCUGAGCGAAUUUGCUUCCGGUGGAGGAACGGGGAGGAGAACUAACUGUGCCUUGUUCUCAUGUGCAAGUUCCAGUCACGUUAAUUGGUGGAACGACCUAGUGGCAAUGACCUUGUGGGAACGACUUCACCUUCACCUUGCUGGUUGUCAGUGCCGUUUGAAAAAUUCCACAUAUGAGUGAUCUCAUAUGAUAUUUUAAUGGAAUACUACUCAGCCAUAAAAACUGACAAUAUAACACCAUUUGCAGCAACAUGGAUGCUCCUGGAGAAUGUCAUUCUAAGUGAAGUAAGCCAGAAAGUAUGAGUUUCUUAAAGCAACUGUCCAAGGACUUCCCUUACCUUGAAAUGCUGCACGAAUCCUAUUUGGAUUCCUUUGCAAAAUGUUUGUUUCUUUUAAAAUAUUUUUAAUUCUUUGAAAGUUUCUUAGAAAAUGAAAAAGUUAAAUAAAUCAUAGCACAUCACAAAAAA